rnacentral:rRNA from 1 species
AUUGAACGCUGGCGGCAGGCCUAACACAUGCAAGUCGAACGCAGUGGGGACGGGGGAGUAACACGUGGGUAACCUCCCAUCAGAGGGGAUAACACUUGGAAACAGGUGCUAAACCGAUACGGAUGGAGGGACCCGCGGUGCAUUAGCUAGUUGGUGAGGUAACGGCUGACCAAGGCCACGAUGCAUAGCCGGCCUGAGAGGGGGACCAGCCACACUGGGACUGAGACACGGCCCAGACUCCUACGGGAGGCAGCAGUAGGGAAUAUUCGGCAAUGGACGAAAGUCUGACCGAGCAACGCCGCGUGAGUGAAGAAGGUUUUCGGAUCGUAAAAUUCUGUUGUUAGAGAAGCGGUAUCUAACCAGAAAGCCACGGCUAACUCCGUGCCAGCAGCCGCGGUAAUAC